UUUUAGUCUUUAUCUUCAUAAUUCAAAAAAUUAGAAAAUUUCAAGACCUUUCUCUCUCUGUUUAAGGUCGGCCGCACCAAGAAAAUUAAGGGAGUUUAGGAUUUUCUAGUAGUUUAGAUCAAGUUAAGAGUUAUUUGAGUAGGAUUUUAAAGUUUAACUUAAGGUAUAAGCUAGAACCGAAUUGGGAUGAGUCUAAAGCUAAUGGUGAAGAUUAUACAUAUCAAGAUGGUUAGACCUGGAGCGUUCAUGGUCUUCGGGACAAUUUAGGCUCACCUUUUUAAUAGUCAGUUAAUGUAAGUAUUAUGUAGACUUAUGUAAAUUUUAACGGGAUCGCAGACUUAUAUAAAUUAUGUUUUUUUUUU